CAGCCGCCACGGGAAUACGUAGGUGGCAAGCGCUGUCUGGAAUUAUUGGGCGUAAAGGGCUCGCAGGCGGUUUCUUAAGUCUGAUGUGAAAGCCCCCGGCUCAACCGGGGAGGGUCAUUGGGAACUGGGAAACUUGAGUGCAGAAGAGGAGAGUGGAAUUCCACGUGUAGCGGUGAAAUGCGUAGAGAUGUGGAGGAACACCAGUGGCGAAGGCGACUCUCUGGUCUGUAACUGACGCUGAGGAGCGAAAGCGUGGGGAGCGAACAGGAUUAGAGACCCCAGUAGUCCCUGUCUCUUAUAC
rnacentral:rRNA from 1 species